UGCCAGCCGCCGCGGUAAUACAGAGGGUGCAAGCGUUGUUCGGAAUUACUGGGCGUAAAGCGUGCGUAGUCGGUAUUGAGAGUCACGGGUGAAAUCCCAGGGCUUAACCCUGGAACUGCCUGUGAGACCUCAGUACUAGAGUGUGAGAGGGGAUAGUGGAAUACCCAGUGUAGCGGUGGAAUGCGUAGAGAUUGGGUGGAACACCGGUGGCGAAGGCGGCUAUCUGGCUCACAACUGACGAUCAGGCACGAAAGCGUGGGGAGCAAACAGGAUUAGAUA
rnacentral:rRNA from 1 species